rnacentral:rRNA from 1 species
GAUGAACGCUGGCGGCGUGCUUAACACAUGCAAGUCGAACGAAGAUGCCGGAGUGCUUGCACUUUGGCAGACUGAGUGGCGGACGGGUGAGUAACGCGUGGGUAACCUGCCUUAUACAGGGGGAUAACAGUUGGAAACGACUGCUAAUACCGCAUAAGCGCACGGUAUCGCAUGAUACAGUGUGAAAAACUCCGGUGGUAUAAGAUGGACCCGCGUCUGAUUAGCUUGUUGGUGAGGUAACGGCCCACCAAGGCGACGAUCAGUAGCCGGCCUGAGAGGGUGACCGGCCACAUUGGGACUGAGACACGGCCCAAACUCCUACGGGAGGCAGCAGUGGGGAAUAUUGCACAAUGGGGGAAACCCUGAUGCAGCGACGCCGCGUGAGCGAAGAAGUAUUUCGGUAUGUAAAGCUCUAUCAGCAGGGAAGAAGAAAUGACGGUACCUGACUAAGAAGCACCGGCUAAAUACGUGCCAGCAGCCGCGGU